UUACGACCAGAUCGCGUUGAAACACCGGUUAUGGUCCGAUCACCGAAGUUAAGCAACGUCGAGUCUGGUCAGCACCUAAAUGGGUGACCGCUAGGGAAUAAC
rnacentral:rRNA from 1 species